AGCACGAUAGCUGGAUGAUGUGGUAAGUAUAUGUUUGGUUUUUAAAGAAAUUGCUAAAUUGUUUUCCAGAGUGGCUGUAUCAAGUAUCAUUUUUACCAGCAAU
rnacentral:pre_miRNA from 1 species